GAUGAACGCUGGCGGCGUGCCUAAUACAUGCAAGUCGAGCGAACAGACGAGGAGCUUGCUCCUUUGACGUUAGCGGCGGACGGGUGAGUAACACGUGUAUCACCUACCUAUAAGACUGGGAAAACUUCGGGACACCGGCGCUAAUCCGGGAUAAUAUAUUGCACCGCAGGGGUCAAUAGUAAAAGACGGUUUUGCUGUCACUUAUAGAUGGAUCCGCGCCGUAUUAGCUAGUUGGUAAGGUAACGGCUUUCCAAGGCGACGAUGCGUAGCCGACCUGAGGGGGGGAUCGGCCACACUGGAACUGAGACGCGGCACAGAGUCCGACGGGAGGCACCGGUAGGGAAGCUUCGGAAAUGGGCGAAAUCCUGCCGGAGGAACGCAGGGUGGGUGAUGAAGGUCUGCGUGUCGUAAAACUCUGUUAGGAGGGAAGAACAAAUGUGUAAGUAACGAUGCGUGACUUGCCGUUACGUGUACAGAAGGACACGGUUAACUCGGU
rnacentral:rRNA from 1 species